rnacentral:rRNA from 1 species
AAGGGCACCACAAGAACGCGUGGAGCAUGUGGCUUAAUUUGACUCAACGCGGGAAAUCUUACCGGGUCCGGACACACUGAGGAUUGACAGGCGUUUGUGGUUUUUUCCACUCGUUGGAAUAUUCCACUAUAAAUAUGCUAGUCCUUUCAUGAUUGUGUGAUAGGUGGUGCAUGGCCGUUCUUAGUUCGUGGAGUGAUCUGUCUGCUUAAUUGCGUUUCACAAAGGACUUUCUAAUUUCUAUCAGCUGCACGUGGGCUCUUUUGUCUUCUGUUGCACUGUGGAUAAGUAUAGUCCUGAAGGCAACGAACGUGACCGCAGCCUCUUGUUGCCUCCUUUUUUUAUAAACAUGAGUAUUUUUUGUAAUUCAUUUUACAUUGGUACUCUGCAUGGAGUUUUGCAAACUAGAGGGACCGCUGACAACUUUUAAAACAGAGGAAGGUUGCGGCAAUAACAGGUCUGUGAUGCCCUUAGAUGUUCCGGGCUGCACACGUGCUACAAUGAUUAUUGCAGUGAGCAUCUAAUUUUUAUAAGACUUUGAACUUGUGUUUAAACUUCGGUUUUUACACAGUUCAGUCAUUGACCUGCUUCGAAAGUAAGCAGGUAAUCAAUUCGAAGUAAUGAUUUCCUUUUCGCACAUACUUAUAUCUCUUGUUUGCGGCCGUGCUUUCAGCUUGUUCUGAUAGUAUUGUUUGUCGCCUGGAGAUAUGUGCUCCAUUAAUUCAUGGUGGGGACAGACCAUUGUUAAUUGUUGGUCUCGGUCUCAACUAGGAAUGCCUUGUACGGGUCUUUGGUUCAACAAACCACCCGGAAUAUGUCCCUGCCCUUUGUACACACCGCCCGUCGCUCUUACCGAUGGACUUCUCUGUGAGUAUAGAGGACUGGCUAGCUAUUUAUAGCAAGCUAUGGAAAUCUACGCGAACAGUGUGGUCUAAAGGAACGAGAAGUCGAACAAGGCA